CACGCGCAGCGCGCACUUUUCCUGCAUUCUCGCCCAUUGCCUUUCGUGCGGUGGAAGUGCUGCCAAAUCAUGAGCACAAAGAAACUCCAUACAAAGUCCUCUUCGUACACGGACCUUUUGGAUGAUGACAACGAGCUGGUCUCGUCAGUUUUCACAGAUGACGACGACGGAGUUGCAAACGUACGACCCAAACUGACUGGUUCCAAGGAGUUUCCUCGUGCCAUGCUCAUCGGUGGCGUGACCAUCAUGCUUCUGGUGUUCUCUUUGAUGGCUAUUGUCUGGAAAGCCAAGGAAGGACCGCCCGCGGUUGCUG